rnacentral:lncRNA from 1 species
GCACUUUAUAUCUAAUCCCCAACAGAUGUGUUUAUAGUUCCAUUUUUAUAUUAACUUCAUCUGACAGCUUGAAAAUAGAAAAUGAUUCACUGGUAAUUUUUUUUCCCCAGACUACAUAUAAAAUAAAACACAUAGCCAAGAACUUCAUGUAAAAUAUUUUCCUUUAAUUGAAUUUUAUAUCUUAAUUAAUGAAACACAAAUACUGAUUUUUGUUUUGGUCACCUUCACUUUUGGAAAAGCCCAUUUUCUAAACAGAUAAAAUAUUACAUAUGCAGCAACUUUUUGUAAUAAAAACCAUCUGUUCUUUACUUCUAAGGCAAUAUCUGCAAUUGUUUUCACCUGACUAGGAUUUUAAAAGUAAACAAUAGAAAAGAAUAAAAAGGAUUCCUUUAGAUCCUAUGGCAUAUGCAAGUCACUGUGAGUUACCAGCAAACACUGAAGUCUUGAGAAUAUUCCUAAUUAAAAAAAUAUUUUUGAUACCUUAAGUAUAUGUGUGAUUUUAUAGCCACUCUUAAAUUUAUUUAGUCACAUCACUUAAGUAUAUUCCUAUGUGUACAUGGAAGUUUGUAUAUUAGAGCCAUAGCCUUGGAAGCAUAUGUGCCAAUGCCAAAGGUUUCAGCAUGCUUUUAGAAACGAAAAGAGUAAACAGACACCUACACUGCCAAGAUACAAGGAUUAGACAAUAAUGAAUUCAAAACUCAGGGAGUGUGAUGGUUUGACUAUGCUCGGCGCAUGCAGUACCAUUGUUGGAAUAGAAGUGGCCUUGUUAGAGGAAGUAUGUCAUUGUGGGUAUGGGGUUUACGACACUCAUCCCAGUCCCCUGGAAGCCAGUUUUCUCCUGUUUACCUUAGGAACACGAUGUAGAACUCUUAGCUUCUCCUAAACCAUGCCUACCUGGAUGCUGCUAUGUUCCUGCCUUGAUAAUAAUGGACCAAACCUCUGAACCUGUAAGCCAGCCCCAAUUAAAUGUCCUUAUAAGAGUUGCCUUGGUCAUGGUGCCUGUUUACAGCAGUACAAUCUAAGACAGGGAGCACAUUCUUGUUUGUUUGUUUUUUUUUUUUUUUUUUUUUUGCUUUUCGAGACAGGGUUUCUCUGUGUAGCCCUGGCUGUCCUGGAACUCACUUUGUAGACCAGGCUGGCCUCGAACUCAGAAAUCUGCUUGCCUCUGCCUCCCAAGUGCUGGGAUUAAAGGCGUGCGCCACCACCGCCCAGGGAGUACAUUCUUAUCAGUGCCUUAAAAACAGAAUAGUGACUGUCCCUUUUAUAGGACUGGGAAUUAAAUACUUUUGUGGGUAGCAUUUGAAAUCUAAGAGGUGCAUGCAUAUUUUGUAGAGAGUAAUUUUAGAGACAGUUAACAAAGUAUCAUGUUCAUUAUGGAUAUAAUGUUUUGCUUGGUCUUACCUAUCCCCUGGGAAUUGCUCAUGAUGUAAGUUAUAUUUAGUAAAGUUAAUUAAAUCG